rnacentral:rRNA from 2 species
AUGCCUCGUCAUCUAAUUAGUGACGCGCAUGAAUGGAUUAACGAGAUUCCUACUGUCCCUAUCUACUAUCUAGCGAAACCACAGCCAAGGGAACGGGCUUGGAAUAAUUAGCGGGGAAAGAAGACCCUGUUGAGCUUGACUCUAGUCUGGCAGUGUAAGGAGACAUAAGAGGUGUAGCAUAAGUGGGAGAUAUAUUAGUUUCGGCUAAAUAUAUCAAAAAUGAAAUACCACUACUCUUAUUGUUUCCUUACUUACUUGAUAAAAUGGAACGUGUAUCAUUCACUUAGCCAUUACACGGAUAUAUUUAUAUAUUUUAUGGUAUUUUGUUUUGAUGCGAGCUUCUUGUUUAAAGUACCAAGAGUUUGUUAUAUACACCAAACAAAUAUCAAUUAAAUUUGCUUUCCAUUAAUAAUGGUUUGUUAAAUAUUAAUUGAAUUUGGUAUAACUAUUAUACUCAGGUAUGAUCCAAUUCAAGGACAUUGCCAGGUGGGGAGUUUGACUGGGGCGGUACAUCUCUCAAAUAAUAACGGAGGUGUCCCAAGGCCAGCUCAGUGCGGACAGAAACCACACAUAGAGCAAAAGGGCAAAUGCUGACUUGAUCUCGGUGUUCAGUACAUACAGAGACAGCAAAAGCUCGGCCUAUCGAUCCUUUUGGUUUAAAGAGUUUUUAACAAGAGGUGUCAGAAAAGUUACCACAGGGAUAACUGGCU